AAGUCGUAACAAGGUUUCCGUAGGUGAACCCUGCAGGAAGAUACAUUAAUGAGUGCUGGGUAAGUCAAAACCUCUCUCUUCUACACACUUGUGAAUCUACACCGUUGCUUUGGCAGGUCUCCGGAUGGGUUUUGAACCCGGACGGUCAGGUCGAAAGACGCCUGCCAAAGACAUUUAUCCACCCUUUUUAAUCGUCUGAUUUUUUGUUUUAAACAAAUAUAAAAAAA
rnacentral:misc_RNA from 1 species